UAUCCAUGGCCCAGUGGCUCUCCAGCAGGCUGGAGUUGUGAAUGAUAUUCAAUAGUCAUGUCUUCUCUGAGAUUAUUUAAGAACUAAUGAUAGGUUGUGAUCAGGAGAAGCCCAGGGAACUUCACGCCUCAUUUCCCUGUGUUCUGAAGUGCUGUGUACCUCUUGGAAAUUGGAAGUUCACGACACUGUUCCAUUUUCUCAUCUGCCUUUCUCAAGGACUGGAACCUAUUCACCAGAGUUUGUCCAUCCCCUUCCCCUUGCCUGCAUACUGUAGCCGCCUUCUUGAAAUACUAUGCAGUUUUUGAACUCCAGAGAAUAAUGUUUAUCUUAAGUUCUCAUAAUCACAUGAACAUCUUAAUGCUUAGGCUUUCCAGUUCAAGUCCACUCCUAAACCACUGUGACCUUAAGCAAAAUAAAUACUUAGCUAUAUAUGACCCAAGUCUGUGCUUCUCCAGGCCCGACCUUUGACAGGUUAUCUGCCAGUCCGGAAGGAAGACUUUGAUUUGCGAAGCCACGUGGAGACUGCUGGCCACAAUAUUGAUGCCUGUUAUCACGUAUCAAUCACAGAGAAGACCUGCCGAGGGUUCCUUAUCAAAAUGGGUGGAAAAAUUAGAACUUGGAAAAAACGAUGGUUUGUGUUUGAUCGGAGUAAGCGCACAUUCUCUUAUUACGCAGACAAGCAUGAAGCUAAAUUAAAAUGAGUGAUAUACCUCCAAGCCAUUGAAGAAGUGUAUUAUGAUCGCCUUAAGAAUGCUAAUAAGAGUUCUAAUCCACUAAUCACCUUUAGUGUCAAGACGCAUGACAGAAUCUACUACAUGGGUGCGCCAUCACUGGAAGCCAUGUGGAUCUGGAUGGAUGUUAUUGUUACUGGGGCAGAGGGUUACACCCACUUCCUGUUGUAGUGAACAGGCACAACAGCCUACUUCAGGGCAGACUGCAAUAGUCUCUGACAAGAAUGAAGCCAUAUUCAAUCCCGGGUGGAAAGACCCAACAGGUCCCUCCCAUUAACUGUGUAUAUGAGAACUCCUUUCAAAUUAACAGGAAGUCAUUUAUAAAGGAGAAAAAGGGGGUUUUGAUUCAAAGCUUGAUGAUAAAUAGCAGAAGGAUUGAAGCACCUUUGAGAAAGAAAACACUAUUUUGGUAAAAUAACAUCCCUUAGAGGAACAUUUCUUAUAACCUAUUUUUUACCAAUUGUUUACUUUGUUGAAAUAAACGGAACAGUUUACAAAAUGUA